rnacentral:RNase_P_RNA from 2 species
UGCGCAGGACGGGCGAUCGCCGGUCAGGAACUUCGGUUCCUGACGAGAGGAAAGUCCGGGCUCCACCUUAGCAGGAUACUGGUUAACGACCAGGCGUCGGAUGUGCUCUUGAGUAUUUGAAAAACUGCAAGAGAGCCGCCAUCGGGCGACGGAAAGUGCAACAGAAAAUAUACCGCCUCGGGCUUCAUGAAAGUGAGGUUCGCGGUAAGGGCGAAACGGUGGGGUAAGAGCCCACCGCGUUUCCGGUGACGGAAAUGGCACGGCAAACCCUAUCCGGAGCAAGGCCAAAUAGGGAAGCGCUUGAGGUCUGCUCGACCGAUGCUUCCGGGUUGGGCCGCUUGAGGCCCGCGGUAACGCGGGCCCUAGAGGAAUGAUCGCCUCCGCCCCUUCAUGCGUGAAGGGGCGAAGACAAAACCCGGCUUACAGUCCUGCGCAAUUU